rnacentral:rRNA from 1 species
UACGGGGGGGGCAAGCGUUGUUCGGAAUUACUGGGCGGAAAGGGCUCGUAGGCGGCCAACUAAGUCAGACGCGAAAUCCCUCGGCUUAACCGGGGAACUGCGUCUGAUACUGGAUGGCUUGAGGUUGGGAGAGGGAUGCGGAAUUCCAGGUGUAGCGGUGAAAUGCGUAGAUAUCUGGAGGAACACCGGUGGCGAAGGCGGCAUCCUGGACCAAUUCUGACGCUGAGGAGCGAAAGCCAGGGGAGCAAACGGG